UCUGUUCUCUUUUUCAGUGUGGGAUAUCUGGAUGAUACUUGUGUGACAACUGGAGACUGGACAUGAUGGAUGACGUAGGAAACCUCUGGAGGGUACCUACAUUGUUGCCAUAAACCACUGUGCCCAUGUGGAAAACAUUACAGUCCUGGGGCAAAAGAUAAACUUCAUGCUUGAUAAAAAAACAACCAAAAGGGUCUACAUAUAGACAACAAUUUAAACAAGUUAAAGGCCAUAGACUUUGAAAGAAGAAGGGAUCUUAAAAACAUUUAGACCAAAGACCACUGAAUUUCAAAGAUAUCAAGCUGGAGUUGAAGUUAAUUCUGAUGGGAUCCAUACCUCACUGGCACAGUGGUCAAACGGAUCUGGAUGGGAAGAAGUUGAAUGCUGUGUUUUCUCUAAGACUCUCUUAUUCAUGAGGUCUGAAAUUUGGAAUCACAUCUCAGUUUGGACAAGACACAUUUGAAGUACUCAACAGUCACGUGUGGCUGGUGGCUGUCAUGUUGGACAAGGCAAGUUUGAAAG